GAGGGUAUAACUCAGUGGAAGAGCACAUGCUUAGUGUGCAUGAGGUCCUGGGUUCAAUCUCCAGUAUCGCCU
rnacentral:tRNA from 1 species